CAAAGGCGUAUCCAUGGCAACCUCAAGAGGAAGGACAGGGAAAUGAUUGCUCCAGUGGCUGCAACAGAGAAAGCGAGGUUCCUCAUCUGUGUAAUUUAGCUCUGGUUCUGCCUAAAGACAAAAGGAAUGCGCAAGAUCACUGCUCAAGGGUCACCCUGCCAGGAAACCUGUGGCUCGGAAUGGGUUCAGGGGUGCCUCGGACGCGCCCAGGAAAGAAGGGGCGACCUUUGCAGUCCCGGAGAAAUUUGGAGGCUCAAUCACUGUGAUCCCUGGAGAACACCGCCAGGUCUGGUUUUAAAACUGUGCACUGAGCGCGGCCCAGGAGGCAUCUAUCAGGCAUAAAGCUGGACACCUGGAGUGAAAUAUGCGCGUGCGCGCUGUGCCUGGGAAGCCGAUUAGGACCACAGGAGUGAGGCUCUUCGAGGCCAGCGCCCUCUGCCGUUGGGUAGGAGAGCGCGCGGAAAGGUAGAGGUCUCAUUUGCAGCAGGCAAGUUGGUUCAGAGUCGCUGAGUUUUUGAGGGGUAAAAGCUCAGUAGUAACAAAAUUCGUGAUAAUCUCGAUUACUACGUAUCUCCUCAGUCAGCUUGAGGAAAAAUUAAAUUUUGGUGCUACCCAAUGUUGUCAACCAUAUGGGGAUAUAGGCAUUCUCACGCCCUUAAGAUGCAAACGUAAAAGAAUACAAAUUUACAUAAUGUCAUUUUGGAAUUUUUUUAUUUAAAAAGAGAAAACAUUAAAAAGUACAAACCCUUUCACCCAAUGCACCCAUUUUCAAUAAUGUAUACAAAGAAAAAAAAGAUAUGCUAGAGCAAAUAUUCAAAGAUAUUUGUAUAAGGAUAUUGGGAGAGCCAGGAUUCCACAGACCAUAGAUUCAACUGCAGUUUCCUGGCUAUGUGAGAUCUGGGCUGGGUUGGUUGCUUAACCUCUCCGUG